GAACUUAAGCAUAUCAUAAGCGGAGGA
rnacentral:rRNA from 1 species